rnacentral:rRNA from 1 species
GUAGGGUGCAAGCGUUAAUCGGAAUUACUGGGCGUAAAGCGUGCGCAGGCGGGUUUUGUAAGUCUGUCGUGAAAGCCCCGGGGCUUAACCUGGGAAUUGCGAUGGAGACUGCAAGGCUUGAAUCUGGCAGAGGGGGGUAGAAUUCCACGUGUAGCAGCGAAAUGCGUAGAGAUGUGGAGGAACACCGAUGGCGAAGGCAGCCCCCUGGGUCAAGAUUGACGCUCAUGCACGAAAGCGUGGGGAGCAAACAGGAUUAGAUACCCUGGUAGUCCACGCCCUAAACGAUGUCUACUAGUUGUCGGGUCUUAAUUGACUUGGUAACGCAGCUAACGCGUGAAGUAGACCGCCUGGGGAGUACGGUCGCAAGAUUA